AUUGAACGCUGGCGGCAGGCCUAACACAUGCAAGUCGAGCGGAUGAAGAGAGCUUGCUCUCUGAUUUAGCGGCGGACGGGUGAGUAAUGCCUAGGAAUCUGCCUGGUAGUGGGGGACAACGUUUCGAAAGGAACGCUAAUACCGCAUACGUCCUACGGGAGAAAGUGGGGGAUCUUCGGACCUCACGCUAUCAGAUGAGCCUAGGUACGAUUAGCUAGUUGGUGAGGUAAAGGCACACCAAGGCGACGAUCGUUAACUGGUCUGAGAGGAUGAUCAGUCACACUGGAACUGAGACACGGUCCAGACUCCUACGGGAGGCAGCAGUGGGGAAUAUUGGACAAUGGGCGAAAGCCUGAUCCAGCCAUGCCGCGUGUGUGAAGAAGGUCUUCGGAUUGUAAAGCACUUUAAGUUGGGAGGAAGGGCAGUAAGUUAAUACCUUGCUGUUUUGACGUUACCGACAGAAUAAGCACCGGCUAACUUCGUGCCAGCCGCCGCCGUAAAAC
rnacentral:rRNA from 1 species